GACGAACUGUGCAAACGUUAUUCGGAAUCACUGGGCUUAAAGGGCGCGUAGGCGGGCCAUCCCGUCUGGAGUGAAAGCUUUCGGCUUAACCGGAAGAGUGCUCUGGAUACGGGUGGUCUCGAGUAAGGUAGGGGCAGCUGGAACUUCUGGUGGAACGGUGAAAUGUGUUGAUAUCAGAAGGAACGCCGGUGGCGAAAGCGAGCUGCUGGACCUUAUCUGACGCUGAGGCGCGAAAGCCAGGGGAGCGAACGGG
rnacentral:misc_RNA from 1 species